GUAGCUUUCGGCGUUACAUAUACUGAAAUUGGAACGAUACACAGAAGAUUAGCGGGGCCCCUGCGCAAGAAUAAAAAAAAACUGAGUUAAAGGAUCGACGAUGAA